ensembl:lncRNA
GAAACAAGCUCUCUGUUGUUUGCCUCUGACUUUAACUUUGUCAAUUAAUGUCUUGUUGAGCUGUGCUUUCAACAUUGUGGGUUCUGAAUCAUUAAGGAAAUAUUCGGCCGACAUUUGUUUUUACUGGAGCUUCUUGGACUGUGGAUGGCCUGUGCCUUCGGAUGACGAAGAGGUUUUGGGAUCAGCUGAGAGAAGAGCCAUGAUGUCCUGCAUAGCCUUACUUAUCUGAACUCCAGAGUCCUGGGAGGGGAAAAAACGAAAAAAUAUAAUGGAUGCCUGGGCUGGAAAGAGUCCUCACAUUCUACUCUCAAAAAUUGGUGCUUACAAAUUAUUCUACUGGGAUAUCCAACAAAUUGGUCCGGAGAUGGAGUUGGAAAGUGAGAUCAAACCCAUGGAGCAUGAAGUCAUUCUGGGAACUGUAAAUGAACAUCAUCACUGGACGUUAGUGGUCAUUUACCCACAAGAAAAGAAGUCGCUGUAUCUUGAUCCACUCGGAGAAACUAAACAAGGUAUCCAAAAUUGUUUGGAAUCAACAAGUUUGCUGAAAAGAUCUUGCGAAAAGAGUCAGUAGACUUUCCGUCUACAAAAAAAGGCCAGAAACACACACAGGCUGCAAAUUGCCACCACUCCUCUCCUAGAGACAGAUGACUUGACAAACAUCUGUCAUUUCUGCGGGGAAGAAGAGCAUGCAACUGACAACAAAUGGAUUUAGUGUGAGAUGUGUUUGCGGUGGUUCCACCAGCUCUGCGUGAAAAGCCCACCACCAGAAGAUGUGUUUAUUUGUUUCGCUUGUACAUAGUUGACACUAAAGGUCCACAGCUAGUGUUCUUAUGGCACACAUUGUUGAGAACACAUAUCUACAUAUAUAGAUGUAGAUGUUAAAUUAAGAAGUCUAAAAAAAGAAAAUGGUCUCCAAAGUUAUUUGUCACGGUCGGACGGUUCUUUCCCGACGACCCUGCUUGUGUUUAUGUUUUCUGUGUGUGUGUGUUUGCUUCUCCCUCCCUGGUCCUCGGGGCUGUUUACGGAAGUGCGCGCCAUGGGAGAGGCGUGUCCUGGCGACUGUCGUCAUUGGGAGUCCCUCUUCGCUGUUGUCGGCCCACCUGCAGCUGAUUACCGGACCAGCCGUUGGUAAUCAUUCCUCCCGGCUAGAAAGGGGUAUUUAACCUGGACUCGCGGCGACAGUCGACAUGGGAUUAUUACUCCGAACUGGAGGGGCAAGCGGAGAAGCGAGUUGGGGAGCACACACACUAAGGGAGUUACAACAUGGAACGCACUGGGAGCAAGGGACGAGCAUGAUUGGAAAAUUGCACUUUUGAGUGAAUUGUAGGACUUGUCUGUCUGUUUCACUGUAAAUAAACGCACUGUGUUUCUGUGAAGAAGAACCGCGCCUGGGUCCCUCUUUUCCGUGACAUUAUUGUAGUUAUUAGCUAUAUGACUUAUUUUGCAAAUAUACCCUUUGUGAUA